rnacentral:rRNA from 1 species
UUUGACCUACGGGACGCAGCAGUGGGGAAUAUUGCACAAUGGGGGAAACCCUGAUGCAGCAACGCCGCGUGAGUGAAGAAGUCAUUCGUGAUGUAAAGCUCUAUCAGCAGGGAAGAAAAUGACGGUACCUGAGUAAGAAGCCCCGGCUAACUACGUGCCAGCAGCCGCGGUAAUACGUAGGGGGCAAGCGUUAUCCGGAUUUACUGGGUGUAAAGGGAGCGUAGACGGCUGUGCAAGUCUGAAGUGAAAUGCCGGGGCUCAACCCCGGAACUGCUUUGGAAACUGUACAGCUAGAGUGCAGGAGG